UACGGAGGGUGCGAGCGUUGUCCGGAAUCACUGGGCGUAAAGGGCGCGUAGGCGGCCUGAUAAGUAGGGGGUGAAAUCCUGAGGCUUAACCUCAGGGCUGCCUUCUAAACUGUCAGGCUCGAGCACAGUAGAGGCAGGUGGAAUUCCCGGUGUAGCGGUGAAAUGCGUAGAGAUCGGGAGGAACACCAGAGGCGAAGGCGGCGACCUGGACAGUUACUGACACUCAACUCCGAAAGCGUGGGGAGCAAACAGG
rnacentral:rRNA from 1 species